rnacentral:tRNA from 1 species
AUUUAAGUAGUUUAUAAAAAUACUGAUUUGUGGUGUCGGAGAUGUAGAAGUCUACCUUAGAUC